CCCGAUCAGUCUACAAUCACCUUCUAGGCUACUCUUGUUCUUCACCCUCAUCAUUCAUCAACAUUUCUGAAAAUGCAAACAUCUUUUAUUAGUCUGCUAUUACACUACCCAUAAAUUGAGGAAUUGUCAAGAUGAAUUUAUCUGGAAUUUUUUCAACCCUUUUCCAGAAAUCGAAUCUUGAAUACCUACUGCAUCUUAGAUUAAUCCCCUAUUAGCCCACGAAUUCAGAUGGGUGUAAGUUCAGAGAUAUGGGAUUGCAGUUGCAGACAAAAGGGGUUAAUCUGCUAAAGAAGUAGUUUCCAACCAGAACUGGUGUAGUUGAUGAUCAGUGGCAAUCCACGAAGGGAUGUAGAUGGCCUUUAUUUCUUCUAUAGAGAUUAUGGCAACCAUUUUGUUAACAAUGAUGGAUCAGAUACGCUACUACCUACUUGUGAGAACUAGAGAGAUCUCAGGCUUGGUUUGUUACUUCGAUGAGCUGUUUGGUUACUCUUCUUAACCUGGACUAUGAUUGUAAUGAUUUGAUAUAAAGAAUUGGAGGAGAAAACUAAAUUUGAAGAGCACUUACGCUUUGUUUGGAUAGCAAAGAAGGAAGGAAAAGAAGGGGAGGGAAAAUGGAGGAAGGGAAGGGAAAAGAAAG